AAGAGUUAUAGCCUGGAGAUGAUCUCCCGUCCGAUUAGCUAGUAGGCGCGGUAAGAGCGCACCUAGGCGACGAUCAGUAGCUGGUCUGAGAGGAUGAUCACCCACACUGGGACUGAGACACGGCCCAGACUCCUACGGGAGGCAGCAGUGGGGAAUUUUCCGCAAUGGGCGAAAGCCUGACGGAGCAAUACCGCGUGAGGGAGGAAGGCUCUUGGGUUGUAAACCUCUUUUCUCAAGGAAUAAGAUCUGAAGGUACUUGAGGAAUAAGCAUCGGCUAACUCCGUGCCAGCAGCCGCGGUAAUACGGAGGAUGCAAGCGUUAUCCGGAAUGAUUGGGCGUAAAGGGUCCGCAGGUGGCACUGUAAGUCUGCUGUUAAAGAGUGAGGCUUAACCUCAUAAGAGCAGUGGAAACUACAGAGCUAGAGUGCGUUCGGGGUAGCACGAAUUCCUGGUGUAGCGGUGAAAUGCGUACAGAUCAAGAAAAACACCGGUGGCGAAAGCGUGCUACUAUGCCGUAACUGACGCUGAGGGACCAAAGCU
rnacentral:rRNA from 1 species